GAUGAACGCUGGCGGCGUGCCUAAUACAUGCAAGUCGAGCGAACGGACGAGAAGCUUGCUUCUCUGAUGUUAGCGGCGGACGGGUGAGUAACACGUGGAUAACCUACCUAUAAGACUGGGAUAACUUCGGGAAACCGGAGCUAAUACCGGAUAAUAUUUUGAACCGCAUGGUUCAAAAGUGAAAGACGGUCUUGCUGUCACUUAUAGAUGGAUCCGCGCUGCAUUAGCUAGUUGGUAAGGUAACGGCUUACCAAGGCAACGAUGCAUAGCCGACCUGAGAGGGUGAUCGGCCACACUGGAACUGAGGCACGGUCCAGACUCCUACGGGAGGCAGCAGUAGGGAAUCUUCCGCAAUGGGCGAAAGCCUGACGGAGCAACGCCGCGUGAGUGAUGAAGGUCUUCGGAUCGUAAAACUCUGUUAUUAGGGAAGAACAUAUGCGUAAGUAACUGUGCACAUCUUGACGGUACCUAAUCAGAAAGCCACGGCUAACUACGUG
rnacentral:rRNA from 1 species